GAUCCUGGCUCAGGAUAAACGCUGGCGGCGCACAUAAGACAUGCAAGUCGAACGGAAGUCGUUGUAAUGAAAUAGAAACGGACAGAGAACUUGUUCGAAGAAAGUGGAAGUAGACUUACAACAAUGGCUUUAGUGGCGGACUGGUGAGUAACGCGUAAGGAACCUGCCUUCUAGGGGGGAAUAACAAUGAGAAAUCAUUGCUAAUACCGCAUAUGCCGAGAGAAUCACAUGGUACAAUCGGAAAAGAG
rnacentral:rRNA from 1 species